rnacentral:rRNA from 1 species
GUGCCAGCAGCCGCGGUAAUACGUAGGGUGCGAGCAUUGUCCGGGAAUUAUUGGGCGUAAAGAGCUCGUAGGCGGCCUGUCGCGUCGGAUGUGAAAGCCCCGGGGCUUAACCCCGGGUCUGCAUUCGAUACGGGCAGGCUAGAGUUCGGUAGGGGAGACUGGAAUUCCUGGUGUAGCGGUGAAAUGCGCAGAUAUCAGGAGGAACACCGGUGGCGAAGGCGGGUCUCUGGGCCGAUACUGACGCUGAGGAGCGAAAGCGUGGGGAGCGAACAGGAUUAGAUACCCUGGUAGUCC